GAGUUUGAUCCUGGCUCAGGAUGAACGCUAGCGGCAGGCUUAACACAUGCAAGUCGAGGGGUAACAGGAGAAAGCUUGCUUUUUCGCUGACGACCGGCGCACGGGUGAGUAACGCGUAUACAAUUUACCUUAUACAGGAGGAUAGCCUUUAGAAAUGAAGAUUAAUACUCCAUGGCAUUAUGAUAUGGCAUCAUAUUAUAAUUAAAGAUUUAUUGGUAUAAGAUGAGUAUGCGUCCUAUUAGUUAGUUGGUAAGGUAAUGGCUUACCAAGACUUCGAUAGGUAGGGGUCCUGAGAGGGAGACCCCCCACACUGGUACUGAGACACGGACCAGACUCCUACGGGAGGCAGCAGUGAGGAAUAUUGGACAAUGGAGGCAACUCUGAUCCAGCCAUGCCGCGUGCAGGAAGACGGCCCUAUGGGUUGUAAACUGCUUUUAUAUAGGAAGAAACCCAACCACGUGUGGUUGGCUGACGGUACUGUAUGAAUAAGCACCGGCUAACUCCGUGCCAGCAGCCGCGGUAAUACGGAGGGUGCAAGCGUUAUCCGGAAUCAUUGGGUUUAAAGGGUCCGUAGGCGGGUAAUUAAGUCAGAGGUGAAAUCCCACAGCUUAACUGUGGAACUGCCUUAGAUACUGGUUAUCUUGAGUUUUAGUGAAGUAGAUAGAAUGUGUAGUGUAGCGGUGAAAUGCAUAGAUAUUACACAGAAUACCGAUUGCGAAGGCAGUCUACUAACUAACAACUGACGCUAAUGGACGAAAGCGUGGGGAGCGAACAGGAUU
rnacentral:rRNA from 1 species